rnacentral:ribozyme from 1 species
GCGUCACAUAGAUCCUGCCUCCACGCGGCGUGACGCGGGCAACUGUGAAUCGGUCACAGGCUGAAUGGAUCU